rnacentral:pre_miRNA from 10 species
GCCUGACGGGGCGCGUUGAGGGCUGGGUCUUUGCGGGCGAGAUGAGAGGUUCGUGUCUUCAACUGGCCUACAAAGUCCCAGUCCUCGGCGCCCGGCGCCGCCG